rnacentral:rRNA from 1 species
GAUGAACGCUAGCUACAGGCCUAACACAUGCAAGUCGAGGGACCGGCGCACGGGUGAGUAACACGUAUCCAACCUGCCCUUUCCUCGGGGAUAGCCUUUCGAAAGAAAGAUUAAUACCCGAUAUAAAGGAUGGGGAUGCGUUCCAUUAGGUUGUUGGUGAGGUAACGGCACACCAAGCAUUCGAUGGAUAGGUGUUCUGAUAGGAAGGUCCCCUGCAUGUGAACUAAGACACAGUCCAAACCCCUACGGGAGGCAGCAGUGAGGAAUAUUGUGGAAUGAGCGCUAGCCUGAACCAGCCAAGUAGCGUGAAGGAUGAAGGCGUAGGGGUCGUAAAUUGUUUGUAUAUAAGAAUAGGUAUUAUAUGAGUAAGGAUCGGCUAACUCCGUGCCAGCAGCCGCGGUAAUAC